AAUUUCUACUAGGGGGGCCUUCAUUGGCUGAGACAACGACCCUUAGAACCUGAUCUGGUUAAUACCAGCGGAGGGAAGUGGAAAACUACUUAA
rnacentral:ncRNA from 1 species